rnacentral:rRNA from 1 species
CCUACGGGGGGCAGCAGUGGGGAAUAUUGGACAAUGGGGUAACCCCUGAUCCAGCGACGCCGCGUGAGUGAAGAAGUAUUUCUGUACUGUAAACUCUAUCAGCAGUAAAGAAAAUGACGGUACCUGACUCAGAAUCCCCGGCUAACUACGUGCCAGCAGCCGCGGUCAUACGUCAGUGGCAACCGUUAUACGGAUUUACUGGGUGUAAAGGGAGCGUAGACGGAAGCGCAAGUCUGGAGUGAAAUGCCGGGGCCCAACCCCGGAACUGCCACUGAAACUGUGCAGCUGGAGUGUAGGAGAGGUAAGCGGAAUGUCUGGUGUAGCGGUGAAAUGCGUAGAUAUCAGGAAGAACACCGAUGGCGAAGGCGGCUUACCGGACUGCAACUGACGUUGAGGCUCGAAGGCGUGGGGAGCAAACAGGAUUAGAUACCCCAGUAGUC